UAGGGAAUAUUGGACAAUGGGUGAGAGCCUGACCCAGCAACGCCGCGUGAAGGAUGAAGUAUUUCGGUAUGUAAACUUCGAAAGAAUAGGAAGAAUAAAUGACGGUACUAUUUAUAAGGUCCGGCUAACUACGUGCCAGCAGCCGCGGUAAUACGUAGGGACCAAGCGUUGUUCGGAUUUACUGGGCGUAAAGGGCGCGUAGGCGGCAAUUCAAGUCAUCUGUGAAAUCUCCGGGCUUAACUCGGAACGGUCAGAUGAUACUGCUUUGCUAGAGUGCAGAAGGGGCAAUCGGAAUUCUUGGUGUAGCGGUGAAAUGCGUAGAUAUCAAGAGGAACACCUGAGGUGAGGGCGGGUUGCUGGGCUGAUACUGACGCUGAGGCGCGAAAGCUAGGGUAGCAAACGGGAUUAGAUACCCACGUAGUCCCUGAGCGGGCUGGCAAGGCGCAU
rnacentral:rRNA from 1 species